rnacentral:rRNA from 1 species
AUUGAACGCUGGCGGCAUGCCUUACACAUGCAAGUCGAACGGCAGCACGGGAGCAAUCCUGGUGGCGAGUGGCGAACGGGUGAGUAAUAUAUCGGAACGUGCCCAGUCGUGGGGAUAACGUAGCGAAAGCUACGCUAAUACCGCAUACUAUCUAUGGAUGAAAGCGGGGGAUCGCAAGACCUCGCGCGAUUGGAGCGGCCGAUAUCAGAUUAGGUAGUUGGUGAGGUAAAGGCUCACCAAGCCGACGAUCUGUAGCUGGUCUGAGAGGACGACCAGCCACACUGGGACUGAGACACGGCCCAGACUCCUACGGGAGGCAGCAGUGGGGAAUUUUGGACAAUGGGCGCAAGCCUGAUCCAGCAAUGCCGCGUGCAGGAUGAAGGCCUCGGUUGUAACUA